rnacentral:rRNA from 1 species
AUGCAACCUGAAAUGAAGCAACUCUGCACCGCAUUCAGCAACCUAAGGAAGCUGUCUGUGUUUGGUAUCUUUAUUGAAUUUGACAUUAUAUGGACAACAACCUUUCUUGAGGCUGCACCCUCUGUCGAAAUGUUACAUAUUGAGGUAUGGGACCAUGACACAUGCGGUUGGGGCGACAAUUAUGACAGAAAGUUGGUAUUCGCUGAUAGAAAAAAUCCUGAGUGGGAGAUGGACUCGCACAGCUCCAAGAACUGGCUACUGAAGGAGCUCCAGAUCUUUGGCUUCAGGCCGCUGGAACAGCAGUUUACAUUUAUAAGGGCCUUGCUGGAGCGAGCACAUUGUACUUCUCAGGAACAACAUUUAUAA